UCUAACGGCUGACAGCGCAUGCAGGGUACCCUGUAGCUGACAUUAAUAUUCAAAUGUUCGUGUAUUGGAAGUGACAGCUUUAUAAUGCAUAAGAAAAAUUUGUUCUUUGUUAUGGCUAGUAGUUCCUGCAUGUUUGCAUGAGACCUGAUCUAUCUCCGAUAAAUUAUUUAUGUUCUGUAAAUUCAUCAGCCCGGUAUGCAUCUGGAUAGGAGGCUAUAAAACAGCCUGUUACUCAAAGUGUUGGUAUGAGGCAUUAAAUUGAAGAUACGGAUUGGUUCUGCAGACAAUUUAUGAUACCGUGUUCUUCUUGGAUAAUGAUUUUUUGAAGCACGUUCAGCAUCGCCCCGAGGCACUGGCAGAAACGGCCUUGUUGUUGGCCGUGCUUGACAAGUAACUGUGAUGGGUGGGAUUGUGCACAUGCUCUGCACGAUUCCUGAUUUCUGAGAGGGGAAAUAAAAUUAAAACAUGACCACGUAAGGGAGGAGACCUGGAGAACCUCAGUGUUACCAUCACAGCGCUGUGGAAGUUUUAGAGUAAGUCUUCAGGUGAAGGCAGACCCCUUACCUGAGGCAUAACAAAAGCUGCUUGGAGAAUGAAAUCAGACAGGCCAAAUAAGCUUUCAGGUGCUUCUGGCAUGGCACAAAGCAGUCUUCCCCUGCGGAUGAACGCAAAUCUUCCCUGAGGAGUUUCAAUCUUGUGGAAGGCAUGUGUUGGUGAGCGGGGCAUGGGAAUGACUCCCCUGAGGUUUAGCACUGACUCAGCUGUGGGACUGCUCAGCAUCCUCAGGGAAACCCAAAUCCUGGGCCACCGUUCCACAUCUGUAAAAUGGGGUAGUGCUUUCCAAGCUUCAUGGCUGCUGGGAAGAUGGUGACCAGUAAUGGACGUGAAGAGCUCUACCACUGGGAGAUGUGGGCCUUAUAAGGGCUGUCAUCUCUCCCUUGGGAGAAAAGAAUUAAGCAAAAUCAGCUGUCUCCACUAAUAUUAGAAUUGUUUUAUCUUUAAGUUGUCUUGCUGUCAUCUUUCUCCUUUUAGAACUAAAG